CAAAGGAGUAACUUGUUGAACAGGUGUACCUAUACAACGUUUGAGCAUGGAUAUGUGAAAUACUAGAUGUAUGCGAGCAUUGUCAGGUAGUUCUAUUUUGAACGCAACAUCUCCAAUGAGUUUGAGGAUUUUGAAAGGCCCAAAAUAACGUCUUCCCAAUUUAGGAUGUUGGUGAAGGCGAACAGUGUUCUGGCGAUAAGAUUUAAGUUUGACAUAGAC
rnacentral:lncRNA from 1 species